CGAGGCAUUCUAGCAUUUUACUUUAACGUUGCGCCGGAAUGGCUAUACAUACUUGUCUUGUGACUUAGCCUAUAUAUAUCUUGUGACGUAUAUAUGUCCGACCAAAUUUAAUUUAGUGGUGUUGGUUUUUGUCCGACCAAAUUCAAGUUAUGUCCGACCAAAAUUAAAAGUGAUCGGACAAAUGUCCUGUCAAGUCAAAUAUUUAUUUGCAGCCCUGUAGUAUUACUACAGA